AUUGAACGCUGGCGGCAGGCCUAACACAUGCAAGUCGAACGAGUGGCGGACGGGUGGGUAAUGUCUGGGAAACUGCCUGAUGGAGGGGGAUAAGUACUGGAAACGGUAGCUAAUACCGCAUACCAUCAGAUGGGCCCAGAUGGGAGUAGCUCGUUGGUGUGGUAACGGCACACCAAGGCGACGAUCCCUAGCUGGUCUGAGAGGAUGACCAGCCACACUGGAACUGAGACACGGUCCAGACUCCUACGGGAGGCAGCAGUGGGGAAUAUUGCACAAUGGGCGAAAGCCUGAUGCAGCCAUGCCGCGUGUAUGAAGAAGGCCUUCGGGUUGUAAAGUACUUUCAGCGGGGAGGCGUUACCCGCAGAAGAAGCACCGGCUAACUCCGUGCCAGCAGCCGCGGUAAUUC
rnacentral:rRNA from 1 species